GACACUAUAGUAUUGUCCCUUAGCCCAACUUGCAUAAGAGAUCCAUAUUACAACAAACUUGAUAACUCAUCUAAUACACAUUUAAAAAAAUCCAGAACAGCCUGAAUCACGUCAUAUUUAUACAAUUUUGAAUCCAAAUCUUAAAUAAAAAUGAGCAACACAUAAUGACUGCAUCCCAAAAGCUUUAUCCAAUUUGGAAACCAAUAUAUGAUGCAUUGAAUAUCAGUUUUCUAGUUACAUAUUUAAAAAACAAGAGACAUAAUUCGAAGAUAACACCAAAAGAGCUAACUAUGACCACAGAUGCUAUGGCUAUGAAUCACAGCCCUUGAUUUCCAUUUUUAAUUCCCAAGUCCAACUUCUACAUUAAGUAAAGUAUAGAAACAUGUACCUGAAGAUGGAAAGAAAUAGAAGGUGAAGGAUCAGUAGUAAUUUAGUAUAAGGCAGUAGUAGAAAUAACUAGUGAAACCAGUUUCCAACCCAGAAAUACUGUGCAGUACUCCAGAGAAAAUAAUUUCAAUUGAACAAGAGUCUAGCAGACUUCGAACCAAACUUUUAAACCAAACUCAAGCCAUUUCUAACCCCAGGUGAAUCGGAAUUUGUUUCAAAAAAAAAUCGAAGACUUUAACAUUCACAGAUGAAAUGCAAAGGAACAGUGAUUAUAUUGGAAUUUAUAGCUGUUUUUGUUUUCUGAAUUUUCAACUCCUCAAAUCACUCUUGGGUCUACCUUGAAAGGCAAGAAAUGGUGCAUUUAUUGGCAAGUUACUAUGGCAGCCUUGCAGAUUUAUUUUUUACCUUUUUAUUCCCUUUUUAAAUCUUCUUUUAGCUUAAAAGUCCCUCACUUAUUGGCUUGUUACUCAAGUUAUAUUGUUAAAAGUCUGAAAUUCACAGAGAAACCCUCACUAAAACCUUCCAAAUCAGUUACACUAAAGAUUCCUUAUGUCAAUUCCCUAGACUACCCCCACCUAGACUUCCCAAGUUGCCCCUGAACCCCUGUUAAUAUACUAGACAGACCGAAUGGGCCCAUGGAUCAAUUUGCCCAAAAUGUUCAGCCCCAAAUGAGCCGGAAUACACCCAAAACCCAACCAUGAAGAUCAAAAAUCUAUUUGGCCCAACCAGCAAUUAUCUAAUUAACAGGUUGUAAACACCAAAUAACACAGGACAAUUAAAAAUUUAGCCUAAAUGAUUUACUAACUAAACUUAACCAAACUAACAGUUUUAAAACUAAUCUGAUUACAGCCUAACUAUACUAACUAAAAACAAGACUCCAAUUGCUCAUGCAUGAAUAAAUAAACUCCGGAACAAAUGAAGGAUGAUUCAAGAAUAGGAGAAGGGACAGAAAACUGAAAAACAAACGAAGAACAGAUUAAACCAAGAGAAGAAAAGAAGAAUACCUAAGAAAGGUUCAGAAAAUGAAAGAUGGGCCUGGGUCUUCAGAUCCUCGAUUUUUUGGACAAAUCUGAUGUUAAUCGUGCGUUCUUACGAAGAACACACGAAUAAAAUCGGAUUCAACACGAAAUUUCACCAAAACUUGACUUGGGAUUUUUGGGUUUCAUUUCUGAUCUAAGAUUCGAGGAACUAGGGCAAUAUUCGAGGGUAAUGGAGUAUGGAUUUUGAAAGAGGGGACGAUGGGGGUUGUCUGGUUGAAAUUUGGAUGGAUUUGGAAGUGCUCCGCCACCGUGAGGCGAUUUCCAUACGGCGGAGCCACGAUGGAAAGGGGCGGUGAUUGCAGAGAGGGGAUUAGGCUUUGGGCUCAG
rnacentral:lncRNA from 1 species